rnacentral:rRNA from 1 species
AACACAUGCAAGUCGAGCGGUAACAGGAAUUAGCUUGCUAAUUCGCUGACGAGCGGCGGACGGGUGAGUAAUGCCUGGGAAUAUGCCUUGAUGUGGGGGAUAACUAUUGGAAACGAUAGCUAAUACCGCAUAAUGUCUUCGGACCAAAGAGGGGGAUCUUCGGACCUCUCGCGUCAAGAUUAGCCCAGGUGAGAUUAGCUAGUUGGUGGGGUAAGAGCUCACCAAGGCGACGAUCUCUAGCUGGUCUGAGAGGAUGAUCAGCCACACUGGAACUGAGACACGGUCCAGACUCCUACGGGAGGCAGCAGUGGGGAAUAUUGCACAAUGGGCGAAAGCCUGAUGCAGCCAUGCCGCGUGUAUGAAGAAGGCCUUCGGGUUGUAAAGUACUUUCAGUCGUGAGGAAGGGUAUGUAGUUAAUAGCUGCAUAUCUUGACGUUAGCGACAGAAGAAGCACCGGCUAACUCCGUGCCAGCAGCCGCGGUAAUACGGAGGGUGCGAGCGUUAAUCGGAAUUACUGGGCGUAAAGCGCAUGCAGGUGGUUCAUUAAGUCAGAUGUGAAAGCCCGGGGCUCAACCUCGGAACCGCAUUUGAAACUGGUGAACUAGAGUGCUGUAGAGGGGGGUAGAAUUUCACGUGUAGCGGUGAAAUGCGUAGAGAUCUGAAGGAAUACCAGUGGCGANGCGGCCCCCUGGACAGACACUGACACUCACAUGCGAAAGCAUGGGGAGCAGACAGGAUUAGAUACCCUGGUAGUCCACGCCGCAC